CGUCCCCGGCAGCGGUGUCCAGUGAGCCAGAUUUAACGCUGGGGAGGAUGGCAGUUUGCCGUCGGGGAGGUGUUCCAUGGAUCAGAAUCAGAGCCGCCGUCUGAUCCGUGGAUCAGGAAAUUCGCUUUACUGUCUCGCCGCACGAGUCGAGUUGAAUCCAGAGUCCAGUCGUCUUCUCUUGCAAAGCGACUGGCGAUUUGAAGGCGACGACUGGGAGAUAAAGGUCAGGAGCGGCAGCGGCGAUCCAACAUGGAGUUCUUGAUGCAGCCGAUCGGCAGAUCUGCUGUGCUUGAGGAGAUAGAAGAGAGCCUGGUGCCUGCCCCUCUGGUUGCCGAUGACGAAGUGGUGGCGGAGCAUGCGGUGCGGCAGCAUCACAGGGCGGCGGACAGCGGCAAAGCACAAAUCAGGGGCGGAGGCCGCAGCGGGCAGAAGGGAUAGCUCCCCUCCGACGCUCGAGCUCUCAACGGGGAAGACGAAUCCCCAGGCGCCCGGAUGGAAUAAGAGGCUGAGGCUUGGUGCUGCUGCACCAAUCAGGACACCAUGCCCAAAUCGAAUCAGUGCGUUCGACAAGGCUGUCAAAUGUUUUGCAGAGAAACCGGCUGAAAAUGUGAUCACACCUGUUCUCGGCAUUACAUUCGACUCCUUGGGCGAGGCUUCUGGUGAUGCUCUCACUGAUUUGUUGUUAGUAAAUCAGAUACAAUGGAGUACAAUUUUUAUCUGAGAAGCUCAUGAAAAGCGUGCACAUAAUGAAGAGAUGCUUGGUUUCAUUAGGGCUAAAAAAUACCAGCUAAGCAUAUAGUGAAGACAUGGACGAGGGAUGCUCGCGACAUUCUGCCACCUCAUCUGAUACAAUACCAGAAGGACAGUAUGUAGAACAACCCUUUUUCGUACAGAAACUUCACGAUGUACAUGCACGCAAUGGAACUAGUCAGGCUGGGCGACACUAGUUUUGAAGCCUACAAUCAAUUGAUGGAGUUGUUCAAGUCGAAUUUGACAGUGAUGUUACCCUAUGCAGAAGUUAGGGAUGGUCUUGGCCUCGAGGAUAGACUGGCAGACAGGGGGGCUGUGGUGAAUCAGACUCCCAUGGAGCUGGUUUCGGCGGAACAAAACAUGAACGCCAAAGCAGCUACUGCUGUUUUAGCUAACAAUGAUUCGGUUUCGAGGACAAGCAACAGGUUGGAAGGACUGCUGGCUCCAGCGAAAAAGAAAGAUAUGGGAUGGCCAACGACAAGUACGGAGAAGGCUCCAUAUGAAGGUCUAAGCAAGAGGACUAGGUUUUGCACGAUAUGCUGAAAACAAGGGCAUAAGCAAACUAAAUGCCCUGAUGUGGUGAUGUCCCUAAGCAACCUCGGAAGCCUGCCAAAUGACUAGGGUUGGAUUAGUUGGCAGGACGAGGAUGAAGUUGGUUCCGGCCAAGAGCAGCGUCGUGCGCUGGCUGUCGGCGGAGCAGCGUGGAGGCGCGGCACGGGGGAGGCUCAGCUGCUGCAUCUGUGGCUGCAUGCGCACAUGUGCUGGCUGAAUCUCCGCCUGGCUGCUAUGGUCGAAGUUGUGGUCUCGCCUGUAUCUCUGCUGAAGGGGAGCCGACGGGUGCAUAGCAAGGGGGGUUGCAGCACGUACGGCUGCGUCAGCCCUGCGCGAGUCAGCUCGGGCAGAGCAAGCUCGGCGCGCGCGAGGCGAAGGUGACCACCUUGUCGAGGUAGUCGGGGCAAGGGAUAGGUGGCAGCACUUCCUGAGGCUGCAAGGAAGAAAAGUGAAUCUUCCAGAGCAAGGGUGUGUGCGGUCGAUGCAGUGCAUGUAUAUAUUAAAAAAAUGUUUGCUGGAAGCCACCGUUAGGUGUGUAACGGCUGAGCCGUGGACCACGACGCUAGUGUCCAUCUGAGCCGGCUAGUGCUGGAUGAUGGAUGUCCCAAUAAAUGCGGUCGGUGAGUGGGCCCUAUUCUAUAGAAAAGCAUCUCAUACUACUCAGAAUACGCAGUAAAAUACAUCUCCUGGUGCGAAUCUUAGCGCCAGACAACG